AUGGAGUGGUGCAUAGCCAUUUGCCUCCUGGAAGUAGGACGCUCUGAUCCCGAUAUCAUUCAGCCAUGGAGUUUGAUCCUGCGGGAAGGCCAAGCUGCGCACAUGAAAUGUGAACAAAAGAAGGGGCACAAUGCCAUGUACUGGUACCAGCAAAAGGCGGGGCAGGCUCUGGAGCAACUCUUUGCAUUCCAGAGUAAUGCAGAAAUGUACAAAGACAUCAACCUUGAACAUUUCAAGGCCCAGCAGUUUGAGACAAAAUACUGUACACUGAAUAUUUCACACGUGAAGCCAGAAGAUUCGGCGUUGUAUCUCUGCGCCAGCAGCCAAGACACAGCACUUCAAAGUCACCACUUCCUCCUCCUAAAACCUCCUCCACAGUGA